CUUGAGUGUUCUGUGUUCCACCCAUGCGUGGUUCUGCUCUUCUCUCCUGUGCUCUUUUUUUGCCUAACUGUUCUUACCUUGGAUCUUUGGACUCAUGUUCUGGCCUCUGGAUUACCACAUGCUUCCUGGUUGGCUCUGGUUGAACAGCUUGGACUGCUCCCCCUGGUUUUUGACUUUGGAGGCCUCACUACAUCCGGUCCAUCAAGAGCAGGGGACCAGCUGCUGUGACGCGACAGGGUAAUGCGUGUCUUGCACGUACAAUAUCCUGAGCUCACUAUUUCCGAUGUGGCUUUUAAGUGAGGGCAGCGCUGAAGUGUUUCUGAUGGUGAAGAAGGACGAUGGAUCACCGUUCUGUUGGCGGCUACUUGAAAGGUCAAGGAUGGUCAUCAGGCAUGAGGGCACGUGGCUUUGGUCGGAGACAUGGGGAGAGACGGGCAGAGGGGAUAAAGAGGACUCUGGAGCAUGCUCAGCUGUGCCAUUCUCCUUUGUGGAGGAGGUCAGGAGAGAAAGACUCAGCUACUGGGGUUUUUCCUGUUGAAAAUUAUCAUAAUAAUAGUAAUAAUGAAAAAAAUGUGACCAAUUGAUCUUCACUGCUGCGUCUCAACAUCAGAGAAUAAAAUCCCCCCUGACAGAGACGCCUGAAGCCUUUGUCUGACCACGUGAUUGAAGUUUGAUCCUCUGCAGGCUGAUCAUUGAACUUCAAACUUUGUCCGGCCCCAUUGUCUUGUCUUUAGAAAAGUCUCUUCCCCCUUUGCACUAAUCUAUGUCUGGAGGUGUGGACCUCUGCCACAUGACUUGAAUUUGAGUCAGAGGGACAGAGUCAAGAAUGUGACGACGUUCGACUUGAUUUGACAUUAUCAGAUAAGGCUUGCAACUUGACUUUGACUGAAAGUCGAUGUUUGCCUUAGAUUUUGUGUGAGUUGAUAACCUUCACAAGUCCAAUGCUUCAGAAUGACUUUGUGGACAAAUGUGCAGCCAAUCACCUCUUCAUUUUGCUGACAACAGAUAUAAAGUACUUUGACAACAGAGAUCAAUCACAGUGCAGAAGAGAGCGAUAAAGGAGUGUAUGUGGCAAACCAGCAGACGGCCAUCAGAUGAUACGCUUAUCACAUUCAAAUGCGGACUGUGCUGUAGUCAGCAGAAAACGAGCGUGACAUCCCAAACAUUUAGCUGAGGAACACCAAAGACUGUCACAGUGAAAACAUGAAAAGUAUAUUCAUCUGUUGGAUUUUAAAUGGAGUAAAGUUUGAAUUUGAAAGGAAAAGGAUCAUUUUACCAUGCUACUCCAAAUUUUCUUGGGGAACACGGUUGUGGAUCGAGGUUAGAGACGGUCGUCCACUAACCAGGGGCUCCAUGGUUCAAUCCCUGCCCCUGACGACAGUGAGGGUAUGAGUGAUGUAAUCAAAUAAGCAUUGCUUGUGGAAGCACUAAAUGUGGAGUGUGAAUGUGACUUGUACUGUGAAGUGCCUUGAGUGAGUCAGGAUGGAAAAACACUAUAUAAGAGCUCUCAUUUUCUUAUUAACAUUACUUGAUUAAAUACUAGA